UGCAUGGCAGCGCAGUUGGCAGCACUGUUGCACUGUUGCCUUGCAGCAAGAGGGUCCUGGGUUCGACUCCCGGCCGUGCAU